rnacentral:rRNA from 1 species
GACGAACGCUGGCGGCGUGCCUAAUACAUGCAAGUCGAACGCUGAAGGAGGAGUUUGCUUCCUUGGAUGAGUUGCGAACGGGUGAGUAACGCGUAGGUAACCUGCCUGGUAGCGGGGGACAACUAUUGGAAACGAUAGCUAAUACCGCAUAAGAGUAGAUGUUGUAUGACAUUUGAUUAAAAGUUGUAAUUGCAUCACUACCAGAUGCACCUGCGUUGUAUUAGCUAGUUUGUGGCGUAACGGCCCACCAAGGCGACGAUACAUAGCCGACCUGAGAGGGUGAUCGGCCACACUGGGACGGAGACACGGCCCAGACUCCUACGGGAGGCAGCAGUAGGGAAUCUUCGGCAAUGGACGGAAGUCUGACCGAGCAACGCCGCGUGAGUGAAGAAGGUUUUCGGAGCGUAAAGCUCUGUUGUAAGAGAAGAACGAGUGUGAGAGUGGAAAGUUCACACUGUGACGGUAUCUUACCAGAAAGGGACGGCUAACUACGUG